rnacentral:rRNA from 1 species
GAGUUUGAUCCUGGCUCAGGAUGAACGCUAGCGGCAGGCCUAACACAUGCAAGUCGAGGGGCAGCGCGGUGUAGCAAUACACUGGCGGCGACCGGCAAACGGGUGCGUAACGCGUACACAACUUGCCUUUGAGUGGAGCAUAACACCGAGAAAUUGGUGCUAAUUCUCCAUAGUAUUGCUGAAGGGAGUCCUUUGGUAAUUAAAGCUCCGGCGCUCGAAGAUGGGUGUGCGUCCGAUUAGAUAGUCGGUGAGGUAACGGCUCACCGAGUCUACGAUCGGUAACUGGUGUGAGAGCACGACCAGUCACACGGACACUGAGACACGGGUCCGACUUCUACGGGAGGCAGCAGUGAGGAAUAUUGGUCAAUGGGCGCAAGCCUGAACCAGCCAUGCCGUGUGAAGGAUGAAGGCUCUCAGAGUCGUAAACUUCUUUUAUUUGGAAUGAAAUCCCCUUUUCUAAGGGUGUUGACAGUACCAUUUGAAUAAGCACCGGCUAACUCCGUGCCAGCAGCCGCGGUAAUACGGAGGGUGCGAGCGUUAUCCGGAUUUAUUGGGUUUAAAGGGUGUGCAGGCGGGUAGGUAAGUCGAUUGUGAAAUCCCCGAGCUUAACUCGAGAAUUGCAUUCGAUACUGCCUAUCUUGAAUACUGCGGAGGUGAGUAGAAUAUGUCAUGUAGCGGUGAAAUGCUCAGAUAUGACAUAGAAUUCCGAUUGCGAAGGCCGCUCACUAUACAGUUAUUGACGCUCAGGCACGAAAGCGUGGGGAUCAAACAGGAUUAGAUACCCUGGUAGUCCACGCCCUAAACGAUGGAUACUCGACGUUAGCGAUAUACUGUUAGCGUCUGAGCGAAAGCAUUAAGUAUCCCACCUGGGAAGUACGAUCGCAAGGUUGAAACUCAAAGGAAUUGACGGGGGUCCGCACAAGAGGUGGAACAUGUGGUUUAAUUCGAUGAUACGCGAGGAACCUUACCUAGGCUAGAAUGCCGGUGGCCAGUCCCUGAAAGGGGGUCUUGUAGCAAUACACUGCCGGCAAGGUGCUGCAUGGCUGUCGUCAGCUCGUGCCGUGAGGUGUUGGGUUAAGUCCCGCAACGAGCGCAACCCCCAUUCUUUGUUGCCAGCGAGUAAUGUCGGGAACUCUGAGAAAACUGCCGCCGCAAGGUGUGAGGAGGGAGGGGAUGAUGUCAAGUCAUCAUGGCCUUUAUGCCUAGGGCUACACACGUGUUACAAUGGGUGCUACAGUGGGUCGCGACAUAGCAAUAUGGAGCUAAUCUCCAAAAGCACUCUCAGUUCGGAUUGUAGGCUGCAACUCGCCUACAUGAAGCUGGAAUCUCUAGUAAUCGUAUAUCAGCAAUGAUACGGUGAAUACGUUCCCGGACCUUGUACACACCGCCCGUCAAGCCAUGGAAAUGGGGUGUAUCUGAAGACGGUAGCCGAAAGGGGCUGUCUAGGGUAAAACUCGUAACUGGGGCUAAGUCGUAACAAGGUAGCCGUACGCGAAGGUGUGGCUGGAUCACCUCCUUUCU